AACGAACGCUGGCGGCAUGCCUAACACAUGCAAGUCGAACGAGACCUUCGGGUCUAGUGGCGCACGGGUGCGUAACGCGUGGGAACCUGCCCUUAGGUUCGGAAUAACUCCCCGAAAGGGGUGCUAAUACCGGAUAAUGUCUUCGGACCAAAGAUUUAUCGCCUUUGGAUGGGCCCGCGUUGGAUUAGCUAGUUGGUAGGGUAAAAGCCUACCAAGGCGACGAUCCAUAGCUGGUCUGAGAGGAUGAUCAGCCACACUGGGACUGAGACACGGCCCAGACUCCUACGGGGGGCAGCAGUGGGGAAUAUUGGACAAUGGGCGAAAGCCUGAUCCAGCAAUGCCGCGUGAGUGAUGAAGGCCUUAGGGUUGUAAAGCUCUUUUACCCGGGAUGAUAAUGACAGUACCGGGAGAAUAAGCUCCGGCCAACUCCGUG
rnacentral:rRNA from 1 species